rnacentral:lncRNA from 1 species
UUUUUCUCUCGGUCUCCUUGGCCUCCCGCUCCUGCGACGCCGCCUUUCUUUUCUCUUGUUCCCGGGCUCGGACCUCGGCGGGGGGGCCCGCCCGCCAGUUGGUUGCCUCCUGCAGCACCCUGGAGGCCCAGGGUCGGCGGGGUGGCGGCUCAGGGGAUCCCGGGCGCAGCCUACACCUGGGACAAUGAGCAGGAACCCAGCUCUAGACAGUGGGCGUGGAGCUCCUGAGAGAAGACUCAGUUCUCCCAGGAUUCCAUCUGAUUCCCAGAGCUUCCAGCAGGCAGGCAGUGAGGGGGCCACCUCCCCAGGCACCGCCUGUUCUUCCCCAUGCUCA